CUGCAGUGAUGACCAACUUAGGACACCUUUGGAUUUGUCAUGAAAACACGUUGAUAUGUCUGAGCAGU